rnacentral:misc_RNA from 1 species
GAUGAAGAACGUAGCGAAAUGCGAUAAGUAGUGUGAAUUGCAGCAUUCCGUGAAUCAUCGAAUCUUUGAAUGCACAUUGCGCCUUCUGGUAUUCCGGAAGGCAUGCCUGUUCGAGAGUCAUUAACAACCGUUUCGAUCCCUUUCUUUCAGAAAUUACAAAGAGGAAAAGGGUUUGGUUAUGGUGGAGGAGGGAAAGGGAGCGUUUAGCCAGUGUAAAAAAAGAGGCUGUGUUCCGCCUCCCCACCAAAAUUGUACAGGCGGUCAUGUGCGCCCACGCAUCGAGGUGUUGUAAAAGCUGCCACGGCACUUUUCACCUGUGCAGUGUGAGAUUGGCCAGCCGGUUUAAAAACCCCUCUAAACAAUCAAAGGUUGACCUCAGAUCAGGUAGGGAUACCCGCUGAACUUAAGCAUAUCAAUAAGCGGAGGA